rnacentral:lncRNA from 1 species
GGCAUUGAUCUUUUUAUGUACUGAUUCACGAGGACUUAAGCCUAUGAUGCAGUUGUUUUCCCAGUCUUGGGAGCUGGCAGAUGCCAUUACCCAGGUCAGGAGAUAGAACCUUGCCAGCUAUACCCUGAAGCUGUUCAAGUCUUUCUCCCAAUUACAGUCUUCAUAAGCAAGUAGAUGCUUUUUAUUGAGCUCUGUGAGGUAGGAUCCCAGAUCAUCCAAGUAGGAGGGGGAAGGUGAAUGGGUAGGGUUUUUGAGAAAAAGAACAUUAUUGUGAAAAAUGAGAGGAAAAACUGACAAGGAAACAAGUGCUGAGUGGCAGCGAGGGUCCAGUUAAGGCUGGAAACUGUGAAUUUACAGCAGCAGCGUUCUGUCUAGUUGUGGGAUUUUCCUCUAGGAAUACGGUUAUAGGAACCAAGAUGCUGGCUAUUUGGAAGGGUCCAGAAUCGCCUGGUAAGACACAACAGUGGGGCAAGGGAUCUAAGCCUGUGGGCUGGGCAGAGUUUGCUGUGCUACGCUAGGGUUCUGGUCUGAGAAGGGAAUGGAAGGGUGGAGUUCUGAUAGGGAGAAAACUGUCAAGGGCUUUUUGAAAGUGAAGACGUGGGAGGAAGUGACCAGGAGGCUGGGAGCGUGUGGUAAAAGAGUAGGAUGUUCAAUUGUAAGAAAGAUUUAGAGGUGGAAAAGUUUUGGAUUGUGUCAAGAUUGUGAGUGUGGCCUGGAAAAGGGUGGCUAAUUUGAGUUCUAUUGCCUUUGUACCUCUGAUGCAUUUAGGUGACAAUAAACAUUUCUCAUCUCAAUAUUACUCUAUUAUUAACAAACAAACAGCCAAAAGAGAAAAAAAAAAUCAAGUAGUAAGCAGAGUGUUUAUUUUUUUUAAAAUUACUUAAAAAAGGUUGUUUACAGAGAUGUGGAUUUAUAUAACUUGGUGACAACAUUUUUAAAAUGUACAGGCUAUUUCAUAUUAUUGCACUUACUCUUUAAUAUAUAAGGCAUUUUACUUUACAUAAAUAAAGGUUAAUGUAUAAUAUCAUACAAAGUUAUGGUGCCAAUUAAGUCAACCAUCAAAUUCAAUGAGAUGUGUGGGAAGAUGGAAAUGAAACCCAGCCUACUUUAAUCUUCAUGGUAUAUUCUUGCAACUACGGUUUACUUGUUAUAACACAUAUUUAUUUACCCUCAUAGCUUAUUGUGAAUGACUGACCAGUUAAAAAAAAAGAAACAAUGACAGUUUUAGUAGGACAAUACCAUUAGUGUUCACUUCAGAAAGUGUGGGAAUUUAUUAGGCUAAUUAGAAAUACUAGUCAUGCCUUGAACACUGAAGACAAAUAAAUAGCUUUCUAUCUAUCUUAGGGUCAAAGACAGUUUAGCUUUUGCUUCUUCCCUUAAAUUUCAACUGUUUGUUGGCGAGGGAAACCUUCUGGCAAGAUGUAGUAGCAGUGGCUGAUGACUUUAGCAUAGUGUAUGUGGUAAGCCAGAGGUCUACCCUUGUACUCCAGAUAUGAGGAUUAAAAAGACUUGCGGAAGGAGACCAUUCCAUUUGCUCCACAUUGCACAAGAAAUUCCUGUCUGUUCACAUAGGGCUGUGCGAGGCACAGCUGUAAGAGUGGAGGCGAAAAGCAGUUUUCAGUGUUGUUGACUUGAAAUAGUCUUUGAUUUAGGCAAGAAAGCAGAAACCACAAAACUGACCCCAGAGACUGAAAAACAAUCAAUCAAUAUCUAUCAAUCAAGCAUGCACCUUGCACUGACUUCCUACAGUAUUCUACCUGUAACUGUAGUGAAAAGUAGAAGUAAAAUCAAUAAGACCUUUCUAACUAACUCCUGUACCAUAUUUUCCUUUGUAUUGCCAGUUGAUGAGAAAUCUGGACUCAGACAAGCCAGCUAUUUCUCUCUCAUCUGAAGGACCUCUCUAGGCCGACUUCAAAGAUGUUUAGUGGGAUUGGUCAUUCAGAAAAAUGAUGAUGUACAAAGCUGAUGGCUAAAGCCCCUCCAUGAAUCUGGGGGUCACAGCCAUAGACCCAAGCUGUAGGUUAUUUAAAGAAGUAUCUCCAACAUAAAAUCUUAGUGUCAUGCACACAGGUAUGGCAAAUGCACUCUCCACUCAUGUUGUCAGGGCUCAACGGGUUGGUUUGUGCCACUGAAGACGACCUGGCUUGUAACUACAUUUCUGCUCCUUUACCUUGACUCACCCUGUUUCUCCUCCUCUUUAUGACCCGAUGAGAGUUUGGAAUUAUUUACCUAAGAAAAUAAGGUACAUCAUGAGGAGAGAAAAGCCAGCUAUGUGACGACGAACGGAAUAUCCAAUCGGAAUAGCUACUGGGAAGCAGCUCAUGCCACCAGAGGAGGAGUGGCCAGAGGGUUGUUAGAAGGACUGAAUGAGAUGAAGUAGAGGAAAGUCUUCUAGGACAGGGGUCCUCAACCCUUGGGCCACAGACUGGUGGCAGGAGGGCUGCACAGCAGAUGGGAUGCCUGGUUGCAAGAAAACAAGCUCAGGGCUCCCACAGAUUCUACGUGAUUCCUUUAGGAAACAUUCAGUGUUGUACAAAGCAGAGGUGCAGUUUUCACAGAUUUGUGGCCAGAUGCUAGAGACAAAGGCUGAGAAGUUGUCCAGGACGUCAUAUUCUUGCUUUGCUGGAGGCAGAUCUGAAGGAUGUCAUCUCUCCUGUGGCUUCUUCUAGUGUGGGGUCCCGAAGCCUGGCUUCCCCAGCCGAUGUGCUGCUUUAGUCAGCGUCUGCCCUGGUCCUUCGGUUCGCAGGCUCACACGCUUUUUUGGGUUGUGUCCCUUUGGACUGCAGAGGCUACGUGUCCUGUGACCAACCACGAAGGCGGCCACUCCCGCUCCCCUCAGGAGUGUCUUAAAAUACCUCCAUUUUAGCUACCCUAUUGAAUGACAGGUUAGCUGGGUGCUGGGUUUUCAGGUGAUGGACAUUUUCCCUCAGUCCUCUGAAGGUGUUGCUGGCUUCAGGCAUUGAUGCCGCCACUCUGAUUGUUGUAUGCAGUGAGCAAACUAGAAUUUUCUCUUGGCUUUCUAGAUUUUCUUCUUUAUAUUCUGAAACUUUAUU